GUGGUUGAAAUUCUCGGGUUAAGAAAUUUAAAAGAGGAAGAGUUCCCAGAUAAACACGCAACGAUAGCUUCUAUUGAGCACUUAAAUUUGGAAAACACUUAAGGCGCCUAAUAAAGAGCAACAAGAAGAAUUGUCUUCUGUACCCUCCCUCGCAGGCAUUAGUGGUGUGGGCGUCUCUCUAGCUAGGUCGACGCCACCGACGGGUGCUGCCUGGGGUCAAAUUCAAGACAUGCAGUUUGUGAGAAACGCGAGGUCUUGGAUCCCGCGGUCAUGGACUCAGCCCCUGACGACCAGGGUUGUGACCGGUGUCCCAGCCCGGACCAUCCACACUGACGCCCAGGAGAUGCAAGAUGCGGCUGCCAAACAGGAAAUUGAGAAGGAGCCUCCAAGGCAGAGCAGAUUCAGCAUUUUCCCUCCAGUUCCAGGAGAAGAGAGCUCCCUGCAGUGGGCAGGGAAGAAAUUUGAAGAGAUCCCAAUUGCACAUAUUAAAGCGACCUACAACAACACACAGAUCCAGGUGGUCUCCUCCUCCAACGUGCCCCUGGCCCGAGCUUCCUGUGGCACGGAAGGGUUUCGGAACGCCAAGAAGGGCACGGGCAUCGCAGCGCAGACGGCAGGCAUCGCGGCCGCGGCGAAAGCUACAGUGAAGGGUGUGACCCACGUCCGAGUUGUGGUGAAAGGCCUGGGCCCUGGGCGCUGGGUGUGAUCUGAGAGGAGACGGCGUUGAGAACUUGGGUCCGGGCCUGGCAGGAGCCCUUUGUGAGCGGAGGUCUGCCAUCAAGGGCCUGACCAUGGGCGGCCUGGAAGUGAUCUCAAUCACAGACAACACCCCUCACCCACACAACGGCUGCCGCCCCAGGAAGGCCCGGAGGCUGUGAGGGAAGGUGACUGCACUGGAACCCGACCUCAGCUCACCUCUGGCCCGACCACGCAGAAAGCUGACUGGAGGAGCAGCCUCCACAAAAGGGCUCACUGUAGCCCUGCGCUCUCCAAAGGCUCCCCUCACUGCAGCCUCUGCCCGCAUCCCCCAGCAGAGGAGGGUGCGCCCCAUGAGCCACGCCAUGCCUCCUGUAGGUACAAAGGGAGCUGUGGGGACAGCGGGGGCCCAGGUUCCCGGCUAUGAGGAAAUAAAGAACUCUCGGACUGUCUGUAUAA